UGUCUCCCCAAAACCAAACCCGAUGAUGAACAACCUUUCCCCGCCAUUAUUGGACGGGUCGCGUAUUUAAUCUCGGGAGUGCUUAAAACCCAUAUUCAGUCAAACAUAUUCAAUCUACAAAUCAGUCCAAACAUUUACUCAAACUCAGUUAAACCCAUAUUUCAACCCAAACCAUUUUAAUUCAUUUCGUUUUAUGUAUUAAUUAAGCCCGAUUAGUAAAUAAUAUAACCCUAAGCCUGAAAUAAGUUCGGAACAGCUGAAACGACGCCUAAUUAUCACGUGCUUAAUGCUUAAGAAAAAGAUAAAAUGAAUUUAAACCGAAUUCAGGAAAACUGAUUUGCCGUGCCACGGCAAAAAUGCCGCCUCACGGCAUGUUUUGCCGCGUCACGGCACUACUACAUUUUUAAUCAAAUGCAACGGCUAAAAACGAGCUAUUGCAACGGCUCAUUUUAUUUCCGUUGCAUUAGAUAAGCCUAAUACAACGACAUAAACUUUGUACAUCAAUAGGUGGAGCUAACGCAACGGCUUUAAGAAGCCGUUGCAUUAGGUGUACUAAUACAAACCUGAAAGGCUAUUGCCACGGCAGACCGGUGUGAAUACUAUGAAAAAAAAACGGAAAUAUCUUCUUUCUCUUUCCGCGAAAUCUCCUCCUCUCUCACAGUCUCACUUACCUUAGCUUCUAUCUCCUCUUCAUUCUCCUUCAUCUUCUAUGAGGGCUGCGAUUUUGAGCCGAUUUUGAGCAGCCGCGACUUUCCCAGUCACCGUCAUCCUCACCGAAGCUGCUUCGAGGUUCUCAUGAUCCACUAUCACCCUCACGCUUCACCUGCUCUCCACGGCUCCACCACUAUCGUCUCUCUUCGCCGUCGCAUUCUUCUCCGCUCCUCGAAAUCUUUCCUUUAUCAAUGUCUUCUGCAUAGAUCUGGUCUAAGUAAUCUCUCUUUCUUUAUUUUAAAGAUUCAAUUUGAAUUGAACAAGUUUGAAAUUCUAGGGUUAAUUUGAUGAAGACAAUUGUGUUAUUUAUAGUUAUUACAUUUUAAUGUUGAUUAUUGUUCAUAACAAUCGUGCUAUCUAAGUACGGAGUAGUCAAUUUGUAGCAUUUUUCUCCGUUCUUUCUCAAAUACCAACUUCGCUUUUCAGUCUGAAUGGCGAAAUUACUCCCUCGAAGAAGCUAUUUCGUUUGUUGGGCGAAAUGUGACUGUCAUUGUUUGUAUAGUUAGUGAACCUUACUUUGAUUUUUUGAACAAUUGGUUAAUUAGUGUACAUCAAGAUAAAAUUUUGGUGAUUACUGAAGAUUAUAACACUUCGUAUCGGGUUAAUCAAAGGUGGUCUGGUCAUGCUGUGCUAAUUCCUCCAGUUCUUGAAUCUAAUUCUGCCCAUAAAUUUGGUUCCUUGGUAUGAUUUUUCUUGCCAUAUUUUUUUCAAUUUAAUUUAUCAUAUUGCUGUUGAUUACUAUUGCUAUUGGUUUUUUUUUGUUUUUUAAGGUUUUGAUAUGAUUUAGGUGUUUGAUCUUAUGUGAACUUGUUAUUUAUAAGGGCUAGUGUGUUAGUAAAUAGUUUGUGAGAUUGUGAUGUUAGUUGUCGUCAUGCGUGUUUUUUUAUUGUGAAAAUGUUGUUAUAAUUUCAUCUUCCGGACUACCAUGAGAUUAUUGAGAAUCCCAUGGAUUUUGAAACAGUGAGAAAGAAACUCUUGGGUGGCUUAUAUGUGAUUUUGCAGCAGCUUGAGGACGACAUAAAUUUAAUAUGUUCAUAAAUUUCUUUACUGGUUACCUGUCUUAGUGCACAUAAUUUUUCUUAAGAAAUGCAAAUGAGCAUUUUUACUAUCGCUUUAUGAACAAUGUGCUAAGUGGGGAGUUUAUGCAGAGCUACUAAAUACUGAAUAACGUGGCUUUUAGUUCAUUUCAUUGUCUGGGUUAUAUUUUCUUAAUCUUUUUAGUUCUUACGUUUCCGUGCAUUUUCUUUUACGUGAGCUCCCAUGCAGCUAAAAGGUAAAUUCUUGAACAUUUGAGUAAACGUGGUUGAACCAAUUUCAUGUGGAAUUUGAUGUAAUAAUAUCUGUUUGUGUUUUCUGUUUUCAAUGCGGUUAUUUAAAAAAACUAAUGAUUGUUUUUUAUAGGCUUUGGUCAUUGCUCAUCGACAUGAUACAAUUGUGAUGGCUGGGAGAGUACUGUUUGUAGAAGCUGGUAGGCUGCACGACAUUGAGUAGACGACUAAGGAUAAAAGGGGCCAAUUACAGAAUUUCAACAAAUUAUGAAGAAAUACCUGCUUAAGUUUUUCAUACUAUUAGCUCUAAACUUAUGUCAAAAUUAUGUUUUAAGGAAUAUACAUGUAGUUAUAGGUGUUAUUUGAACUUGUAAUUUUUUUAAGUGUGACAUUAUAUUUAUGUACUCUUAAUUUUUAAAUUCAAUAAAAUUUUCCUUUAUUUUGUCAUAUCU